AAUUUUACCUCGACCCACGUCUCACGUACAGCUGCUUCUAUUACUACAGCAGUGCUAGUAGUGUUUGUGUAUUUAGGUCGUCGUUUGUUCGAUAAAAAUUGAACAGUUGCACACCGUUUUUUGUUUUGAUCUACCAAGUUUAGUUACUGUUAUACGCACCUUAUCUUGCAUGCAUCUUAAUAAAAUUCAAGACUGUAGUAGCUAGUAGUCGUAAUUACAUUGACCCGUCGAUUUACGGAUAAUAUCCAUUUAAGUUUUACUAAAUGGCAUUGACUAAAUACAAAUUUACGAAAAUGAAGAAGACAAUUUUUUUGUUACUGCUUAAUUUUUCUGCGGUGAUGUCCGAGUUAAUCAGAUGUAAUAAACCAGUACUUAAUCAUUGUUACUGUGGUAAAACAACAUAUGAUCGGCAAGAAUUAUAUGCUGUCAAUUGUACAAAUACAUUAUUGUCUACUAAAGAGAGUUUGGAUGUAUUUAAAAAUUUACCUAGUGAAAUUGAGGUGUUAAUAUUUACUGGGAACUUUUUGGAAGACCUACCAUCCAACAUUUUUGGUAUGAACAAUAGUAUUCCAAAACUAAAAUUUCUAGAUAUGUCUAAUAACAGCAUACAAAGUAUUAAAGGAAAGAGUUUUCACCAUGUAUCUUCAGUAGAACGUCUUAUACUCAACCAUAACAAAAUUGAAUUAAAUGGGAUUGGUUUACACCCAAGGGUUUUUUCAAAUUUUGAAAACCUACUAGAACUUCAUAUGAUUGAUGCAUUUGCCAACACAAAUAAAUACAACAUUUCACAAGAUUUAUAUGAAGUAUUUUUAAAUAGCAACUUAAGUCAACUAGCAAAACUUCAUUUAGAACAAAAUGAUAUUAGUAUUAUCUUGGAACCUCAAGUAUUUUGUCCUUUAUCUUCCUUACUUGAUUUACAUCUUAGCAAUAAUCAAUUAACUGGUAUAGAUUUUUUCAUUAACUGUUUGCCUCAUAUAAGAUUCUUAGGUUUAGAAAAUAACCACAUACAAAAACUCUCAGAAAGCCAGUUAUCAACUUUAGAUCUCAUUCAUAGUAAUAACCAAAAUCUAGCCAUUGAUUUAUCAAAUAAUCCUUUUUCAUGUGGAUGUAAUAUUGAAAUUUUGUACAAAUGGUUACAAACUACUCAUGUAAACGUUCGUAACAAUGAAACAAUUAAAUGCAAUCAAGAAGUUUUUAAAAAUAUACCAAAUUUCUAUAUUGAUUAUGGUAAUAAAUGUCCAGAAUAUAUUCAUUCCACAAUACUUCAUGGUAACCACGAUGGACACAAAUUAGUGAUAUUAUUUAUUUUUUGUGCAGUAUUUGCAUUUUUGGGUGCAGUGUUAUAUGUUUUCAGAUAUGUUUUAAAACAUUUCAAAACUGAUUUUAAUACUUCGUCACGUAAAAUACACUACACAACUAUUGGAAAAUGUGAAGAACAAGAGAUACAUGUAUGAUAUUUAUAACAAUAUAUAAAGGAACGGUAUUGAACAAAUGGCAUGUUGAUAACUGGCUCAUGCUUUAGAUUAUUGUUGACAAUCCGAAAAUAGCAUAUCUUGGAUUAUAAUGGUAAUAUUAUUGGUCAUAAUUCACUUUCUAUUCUUAUUCAUUUAAUAAAUUCAUAUAAUAGAAUGCUUUUUACUUAUUUAAAGUUAAUUAUUUUUAAGAACAAUGUGUUGUUAAAUGUUAUUGUAAUAAUUGUUUAUUGUACUUAAAAAUUGUUACUUUUUAUUUUUCGAAUUUUAUAAUGUUAUUAAUAAUGUGUGUAAAUUAUAAUUUUUUAACACACUUCACGCUAUGCGCCUUUUGUCAUAUCGAAUGACAGUUGUUAUUACUUAUUAGAUUACUUGCAUUAAAUGUAAUUUUUAUGAUACUGUUGUGCAGCUAACUUAAGUACACUGUACACAAAUAUUGUUAUUUAUUUGUAUAAAAAUGCAAUGAGAUGAAUUUUUUUUACAUAGUUGUAAAUGUUAUGCCAUGACAAAUAAAAAUUUUAACACCAA